rnacentral:rRNA from 1 species
AACUUUCAACAACGGAUCUCUUGGCUCUCGCAUCGAUGAAGAACGCAGCGAAAUGUGAUAAGUAAUGUGAAUUGCAGAAUUCAGUGAAUCAUCGAAUCUUUGAACGCAUCUUGCACUCUUUGGUAUUCCGAAGAGUAUGUCUGUUUGAGUGUCA